rnacentral:rRNA from 1 species
UACGUAGGGUGCAAGCGUUGUCCGGAAUUAUUGGGCGUAAAGCGUGCGCAGGCGGUUGUGCAAGACAGAUGUGAAAUCCCCCGGGCUCAACCUGGGAAUUGCAUUUGUGACUGCACGGCUAGAGUGUGUCAGAGGGGGGUAGAAUUCCACGUGUAGCAGUGAAAUGCGUAGAGAUGUGGAGGAAUACCGAUGGCGAAGGCAGCCCCCUGGGAUAACACUGACGCUCAUGCACGAAAGCGUGGGGAGCGAAUGGG